AUGAUAUCAGUGAGAACCUUUAACAGAUUAUUUUAUAAUUGUCUAGCUACCAAAAUUGUUCCUGCUCACCUUGCAAUGUCUUUCUUUACUCUCUCAGGACUUUUAGAACCAACAAGGGCACAAUUCAAUGAGGUUGAAUGCUGGUACAGAAAGAAUUCUAUCUCUGCCAGAUCAAUGAAGAAAGAGACAGAGGAUGUCCUACUAUAUAUUACAUUUGCAGCAUAUAGGUCUGUUUGUCAAAAAGUAAACAGAUCUAGGGCUAAAGCAGUAUGGAUGGAGGGCGUUGGAGGUGUUCACUGAUUGGACUUGAGGGAUAAACAAGCAGUAAUCAUGUUGAAUGGUUUGUCAUUCAUGUUCAUCACAGAGUAAAUGGUUCAUGAAGGUGGGUGCUGGGGAGUAUUUUUGACUGUUCUUUCUUUUUUAAAAAUCUUAUUUAAUAUUUAAUUUUUCCCAAUCACAUGUAAAAAACAAUUUUAACAUUAUUCCCCCCCAAUUUUGAGUUCCAAAUUAUCUUCCAUCACCCCCCCCCAACAUUGAGAGACAAGCAAUUUGAUAUAGGUCAUACAUAUGUAGUCAGGCAAAACACAUUUCCAUGUAAGUCAUUCUGUGAAAGAAAUUAGGGGGAAAAAAAACAAACAAAAAAAGAAAGUAAAGAAAAAAAUUAUUUUUUAUCACUGCUCUUCUUAUGUGAUUUUUAAUUGGAGAAGAGCAAUUUGUUUCCUGGUUCAGAGCUACACUUCAAGCAGGAAAUAAUAUACUAGAUAUGAAAUACAAAAUAUUUAACAGUACAUGGUAUCAAAAAUACUCUGUUUUUAUAUAAAAUACGUUUGUUUAUGGAUGCUUUCUUUUAAAAAAAACUGGCCGAUUUAUUUAUACACACAUGUAACUAAUACACAAAAUUUGAUAUUUAAAAAUAUACACAAAUAUGCACAGAAGGCAUCAAGGUAUAAUAAAUAAGGAAUUAAACUUAUGUGAGGAAGACUUACAUUUAAGUUUCAUCUCUGACAUAUACUCAGUGUGUGAGUCUGGGCAAGUCAGUGAGCAAGGAAAAAUUGAGGAUUAGAGAAAGAGAAAGAGAAUUUAAUAGAUAGAAUAACUUCCAGGGAAGACAGGAAAGGACAAAAUCAAGGAUACAAGUAGAAGUUUUCUUGGCAAAGAGAAGUACCACCUUAUAUUUAGAGACUGAAGCAAAAGAAAAUGAUGGCUGAUGAGGAGGAGGAAGAGAUUUGAAUAUUAGAAUUGAGGGAGGAGGGAAGCUCAUGAGGAACGAUGCAGUUUUAUUAUUGGAUUAUGUUGUGAAGUCGCCUGCUGAUUUGGAGGGGAGAAUGGAUGGUAUGGUAGCUUGAAGAAAGAGGAGAUUUGGAACAUAACAGCUGGGAUGGUGAUAGAGAAUCAAGAUGAACUGAAGGAUUAUGGCUGCCAGGUUCAAAUUGACAUUAGCUAGCAUCAUUUUGUAGUGGACUCAGUCAACCCAGUUAUUAGACUUUCUCCUGCCAAGUUCAGCAGCACACAAAUAGGAACUGAAAAGGCAGGUGGUGGGAAUAAUCCAGGUUUGAAGUUUGGAAAGACUUGAGUGAUAAUUGAUUCUGAGGGCAAGAGAUUCUACAUCAGCGUAGAUAAGGGUAUCUAUAAGGUCAGGGUCACAAGAAAAGAAAAAGUAGGUCAAUGAGAGCUUAAUGUAAGUGAGAAAGUGGAACUGGUGAAGUGCCUGGAAUUUGUGUGUGACUAGAAUCUGUUAUGGGCACCGAGGCACAUGGAGAGAUAGAAGGAUAUACAAUUGUUGUUAGAAAGGGGAAUUUCAGACUUAAAGCAUUCAGACUCGAGGCUUCUGACUCCAAAUCCAAUAAUAAAGUCAAUAUAGUAAUGUGUACAUUUCAGAUUGAGUAUCUUUGAAAAAUGAAAAUUCUUCUUCUUUAUUAAUGCACUUAUAUACAAGUCUCUUACAGAAUACAAACUUCCUGAGGGCAGGAACUCUUUUAUUUUUAUCUUUAUAUUUCUAACAGUAAAUGAUAGGCACUCAAUAUAUGCUAACUGAUUGGUUAUCAGCCCUUCUAUAUACAAGAUUUGACUUCUCACUUUGUAUACUUUGAUGUUCAUGAUCUCCAGUUAAAAAGGGAAAAGGACCUAUGUUCAGAAAUAUUGACAGAAAUAUUGCUAUUUUUAUAAAGGCAAAGAAUGGAAAACUAAAGGAAAUAGUUGUCCAUAAAUUAAGAAAUGGCUAAGCAAUUGAAAGAAUAUGAAUGAAUGGAAUAUUAUUUCUGAAUUAGAAAGGGACAAUAUCAGAGAGGCCUGUGAAAAUAUGAAUUGAUGCAAAGUGAACUCAGCAGAAUGAGAAGAGCAAUUUAUACAAUAACAACAUUAUAAAAACAAAAGUUUUUGAAGACUUAAGUACUCUAAUUGGAGAAGUAACCAAGCAGGAUUAUACAGCUGACAAUGAAAUGUUACUUCCUGACAUUGUUCUCAUUUCCUGACAGAAAUGAGUUUCAAAAUACAAAAUGAGAUAAAACUUUUGGAUAUGGUCAGUGUGAUUGGGACUUUGUUUUGCUGUACUUAUGCCUGUCUGUCAGAGUAAGUAGAGACCUGGGCUUGAAGGAAAAUAUUCAUCUCGAGUUCAAAUCUGGCCUCAGACUCUGACUAACUGUGUGACUUGGGCAAGUCACUUAACUUCCUCAGUUUCCUUGUCUGUAAAAUGAGCUGGAGAAGGAAAUGGCAAUCCGCUACAAGAAAACCUUAAAAUGGGGUCUUGAAGAGUCAGAUACUACUAAAAUACCGAACAAAAGAAUUUGUCUUAAAGAGCAAAAUGACUUUUAUGAAUAAAGGAACUCCUAGUUUUGAGUCUUGAAAUGUACAUUUCACUUGAAACUGUCUCUUUUUCUUUCUUUCCUUUUCCUAGCUGUUACCUUUACUACAUGACCUGGGAGAGUCUAUGUACCUUUCUGUAUUUUUGUUCUGCUUUUUUACAAUGCAAGUAUCACCAUUCCAUCACAUUUGCUCAGAUUCCAGUUCCUAGGAGGACAGAUACCAUGCUUUGCCAAGAAACCACAAUGUCAUUACUAGGCAAGCUGUUUUGUAGAUAACCCAAAGAAAAAGAGUUACAUUCAUGACUUGUUGUGGGAGUUUAUUCUAUUUGAUGCUAGCUCAAUGGUGCAUAUCAUAUAUUGAGUCCUAGUACAUUUAUACACAGCUAUUUGUCCUAAAGUGGUAGAUUUAACUUUCCGGUGUACCACAGAGAGCAAUAAAAGGAAAUAAUUUAUUAUUGUAUAAUUAACUUUUGAAUACAUUUGCAAGUGAAUUUCUUUGAUUCCCCUCAUGGUGUAAAAGAAAAUACAAACAGCUAAACAAAUGUGCAUUCCCUUGGAAUUAGGAGUACAUUUCAAGUAUGAAAAUGAGAUUUCUUCUGCAAAUCCUUUUAAUAUUAUGGGAAAAGAAACAAGGGGAAGUUUAUUAUUGUUUUAUAAUGCCUCUGUCAUUCAUCUUUUGGGAACUAUUUUUUAAAACAUUUUUGUCAGACCACAUGUAAGGGGAACAAAUCUGAAAACCAAUUAAUCUGCCAUUAGAUUUCCAAGCAUGGGAAUUAUACAAAUUAUUUUUAUGUAAGCUAUCUCAUAGAAUGGAAUAAGGUGCUGGCCUAUGACCAGCAAAAAAAAUUAUAAAGGAAUUGAAUUUUUUCCUAAGAUAUUUUCUCAAAUUCUAGCUGAAUUUCAUAAACUAUAUGAGGGUAUUUAAAAGGUAGUGUUUAGCUCUUGUUCAACUCUGAUAAGCCAUUCUGGUUAUCCAUUUUAGACUCAAGGAUUUGGGGAGCCUUAGAGGAUUAGUCUGCUCUUGAUUGAUUUUAACUAGUCUUUGGAUAUAAGUUGACAAAGAAUGGUUGUCCUAUUUACCAAUAGUUGAAAGAUACUCUCAUAUAUAUGUGUGUGUGUGUGUGUGUGUGCAUAUAAUAUCCACUCUUUCCUCUUAAAUGCUGCCACUAAUAUGAUAUUCUUCUUUGACAAUUUAAUAUUUAUAUUAAUUUGCCUGGAAAAUUAUUUUCCUUCUAUUCUUUUAAUUUUUUUGUUCUGACACCAUUUUAGGUACUGGUAAUACAAAGGGACAAAAGAUAUAAUCUUUGCCUUCAAGGAGUUUAUGUUUAUAUUCUUAUAAAAGGUAUAGCAAAGUUUGUGACUGAACCAUAAAAAGGGAUAAACAUAUUCUCAUAGACUGAAGCUAGAUUAGGAAACAUCUAGAACUGAAUAUGAUACAAGGUGCCAUAGUGUACAGGUUGUAGUGGGCCUGGAUUCAGCAAGACCUGAGUUCAAAUAUGGCUUCAGUCACUUACUAUCUGGGUAAACUUGGACAAGUCAUUUAACUCUUAUUUUUGGCUUAGGUUAUUUAUCUGUAAAAUGGGGAUAAUAAUAACACCUGACACCCAGAGUUGUUGUGAGGUUUUUAAUUGUAAAACACUAGGCAUUGUGCCUAUCACAUUGUAGGUACUUUAUAAAUUAUUAUUAUUAUUAUUAUUAUUAUUAAUAUACUCCAGUUAUGAUUAGAUGACAGAGAGUAGGACUAUCACCUUAUUAUUCCUGGAUACUCUACUUCCCUUAAACUGAUUGAGUUUGAGGUCCAUUAAAACCUCCACAAAUUUUUUUUCAAACUGCUCUUUAGUUAUAUCUACUCCAUCAACUUUUAACUUUAUUUUUUGAAUCCUGCCCACCUCACUCAUUUGUUUACACUUGUAAACUCCAUCUGAUACUGGCAUAACAUUCUGGUUAAAUUUAGUAGCAUUUUGUCAUUCUCUAAGCCUAAGGAUAAAAAAAACCAUGGUCUUCUCUUCUUAGGCAUGUUAUUUCCCUUUUUAUCUAUUAGUUUUUCUUAAGCAUUAAAAAUAUCUAUCAGAUUUUGAUUAUAUCAAGUUAAAAAGUUUUUAUGCAAACACAACCAAUUCAGACAAAAUUAGAAUGGAAGCCAUAAACUGGAGAAAAAUUUUACCUUUAAGGGUUCUGAUAAAGGCCUCAUUUCUAAAAUAUAUAGAAAACUGACAAUUUUAUAAGAAUUCAAGCCAUAUACCCAGAGAAAGAACUCUGGGUGAUGACUAAAAACCAUUACAUUGAAUUCCCAGUCCCCAUAUUUAUGCCCACCUGCAUUUUUGAUUUCCUUCACAAGCUAAUUGUACAAUAUUUCAGAGUCUGAUUCUUUUUGUACAGCAAAAUAACGGUUUGGUCAUGUAUACUUAUUGUGUAUCUAAUUUAUAUUUAAAUAUAUUUAACAUCUACUGGUCAUCCUGCCAUCUGGGGGAGG
rnacentral:lncRNA from 1 species